GGCCAUCUGGGGACCGUGGAUGGAAAGGGAUAUGGGGACUCUCUCCCAGUUCUGCCGUGGUGAUUUGGGGCCAGCUUAUGAAUCCCUUUCUUCUCUCCUCCUGGCUGACCCCUGAACUGCGGAUAACCUGUCAGAAGCCUGUAUGAGAAGACUCAGUUCAUCACUUAGGUUUUGAUGUAGAAAGAGGUUACAGACAAAGCAGAGAGGAGGGGCACGCCGAGAAGAGGAGACCGGGAAAGGAGGUGCCACUACCCAGCAAUGGAUGAGACUUGGUGGCCUCCUUCUGGGCCUGUCCUGCUUGAUGUGUGUGACAGGAAGUGCACCUGAAUGGGAGUCAAGAGAUGGGCACUGGGAUCUUAACUGGGUUCCAUUAGUCCUGUCCUUUCAUUCCCCUUCUCACAGUCACCAGUCAUUCGUCUCAAGCCCAAGCAUGAGCUUACCUCCAGCGCCUGUGGUUGUUUAUGAGUUCUGGAUGCUUCUGAAAGUCUCACCUCAAGUCGUGCAGAAGUGCUGGGUAGACAUCACCACAUUCCUCACGGCCUCACCGUGAAGAAGCCAAGGGCUCUCGCCAGCUGACCACGUCCGUUAUGCAAAUACUCCCCAGCACCUCCCACACCCCAUCCCCCCAGAAGGGCAGGUGCUCUUUUGGGUCCCACAGCUCCUGCUGUUUUUGCACCUCUGGAGAUCAAAGUGGACUCUGGGUUCAGUGUAGCUUUCCUAUCAGAACAGUAGGUGCUUAUGUGACUGACAUGAUAUCUCCAUUAAAA